rnacentral:rRNA from 1 species
UACGUAGGGGGCAAGCGUUGUCCGGAUUUAUUGGGCGUAAAGAGCGUGUAGGCGGCCAGACAGGUCCGUUGUGAAAACUCGAGGCUCAACCUCGAGACGUCGACGGAAACCGUCUGGCUAGAGUCCGGAAGAGGAGAGUGGAAUUCCCGGUGUAGCGGUGAAAUGCGCAGAUAUCGGGAAGAACACCCGUGGCGAAGGCGGCUCUCUGGGACGGUACUGACGCUGAGACGCGAAAGCGUGGGGAGCGAACAGG